AGAUUUGGGGUUGUGUGCUAAUAAGCAAUAUUUGUUUGAGAAUUAUCUUGUGGAUAUCCUUAAAUUAACCUUUGAAUAUCACUUCUAUAAACCAACUAACAAAUGUUGUUUUGUUGGGUAGUUCAUUGUAAUCCUACACUAGGAUUUGCCUAAGAUAGCGCAAAUGAACAAGAGAUAGAACUCAAAGAAUGGGUUCUUUGAGAGAUAAGAUGAUAAUCAACAAAUAUAACAACCUAGUUUCUACACCACAAGCUCCAAGGUAGUCGAGAAGGAUUUAUAAACUGUCUUAGUUGAAUGGUUUGAACUUUAUGACUAUGUCAUAGAGUUACACCUCUUAAUUCGAAAGAAAUAAGAAUGAAAAUCCUUAUGACUACAUUGAGUGUAUAUACGACAUAUACUCAAGGAAAUGGUAAAGUACCAUUUGACCCGAAAUAAUGAAACUUUUAUAGCUAAUUGGUAGCUUAAGGUGACUACAAUCAAAGAGAAUGGUUGACUUUGAAGAAACCAUCUUUGACGUAGUCUUAGUUUCAAUUAAUUCGAAGAUUGCUAGCUACAACUAAAUGGUGAUUCAAUGUUUGGACAUUAUAUGGGUUUCCGAAACCAUUAUUAAGAUAAUCUUGAUAAUAUAUAUGUCUAAAACUAUGAAUCACAAGACAUGUAAGUUAUAGAGAUCCAUCCAUCAUGGAUCUGAGCAAGCUAGUGGGAGCUAUAAACGUCUUAUGAGAGAAAGAUCAAAUUGUUUGAUUUCUCAUAAAGAUGUAAAUGAAUCUUUUGUUUACUAGGUUUACAAAAGAUUAGUGGGAGUUAAUCAUGUUCCUAAAUUUAAAUAUAUAUAUAUAUAUAUAUAUAUAUAUACACAUUAUAUAUAUACACAUAUAUGAUAUAUUAAUUUUGGAAAUGAAAAGAAUACUUCUUCGUUAAAGUUAUGACUUUAAACAUUCUAUAACGAUAGAAUGUAUAUGAGAGAUAUAGUCUAAAUACAUGGGAUAGAAAUCUAUAAUGAUAUAUUUCAAGAUAUAAUUCGAUUAUAUCAAUCCCUAAUAAUAGACAAGAGAUGCUAGGAAGUUUCUCAUAUGAUGAUAAACUUCAAUUAGAAGGACGACUCUAGUGAGACUAGUAAGUUGCCCUUCUCAAAGGGAACGUACCCUUU
rnacentral:lncRNA from 1 species